rnacentral:rRNA from 1 species
AUGGAUGUUAAGACUGCUUUCCUAAAUGGAGAGUUGGAUGAUGAAAUUUAUAUGGAACAACCAGAUGGGUUUGUAAUAGAUGGUCAGGAAGGGAAAGUGUGCAAGUUGCUGAAGUCUUUGUAUGGACUCAAGCAAGCACCCAAACAGUGGCAUGAGAAGUUUGAAAGAACUUUAAUAGCUGUAGGCUUUGUUGUGAACAAAGCUGACAAAUGUGUGUACUAUCGCCAUGGUGGGGGCGAGGGAGUUAUCCUUUGCUUGUAUGUUGAUGACAUACUGAUUUACGGAACAAAUCUGAAUUUUAUUAAGGAGGUCAAGGAUUUCCUAUCUCGCUGUUUUGAUAUGAAGGAUUUAGGAGUGGCUGAUGUCAUUCUGAACAUCGAGUUGUUGAGGGACGAUGAUGGUGGGAUUACAUUGCUUCAAUCUCACUAUGUGGAAAAGAUCUUGAGUCGCUUUGGCUACAAUAACUGCAAGCCCUCUCCAACACCAUAUGAUGCUAGUGUGUUGCUUCAAAAGAAUUGA